ensembl:antisense Gm15891 predicted gene 15891
CCCAGAGGUACUGGAAACAUCCAUCUACCCUACAACCUCCUCGAGGAAUGUGAGUAUACUCUAGGAAGCACUGGCCUGUUCUGGGGUACCCACAGCUGGCACAUGUUCUCCAGUUAUUUUGAGCCAACAUAGCCAAACGACGGAUGGCCAGCACUCAUGCAGUACUUACGAGGUGACGAUGCUUCGAAGGCGACCCUUUCUGAAUGUGAUGGUAACAUUGCGGCAGCAGUGGCUCUCGUAGUAGUAGCACUUCAGAUUGGUGCUGGCCGUGCAGCAGCACUUACAGUUGGGGUCAUUGGCCCAGGAGCAGCAGCACCAGUGGCAAUUGGGGUUCUCUGCACAGGUGCAGUGGCAGAACUGGCAGUUCCGCUCAUCCUUGUAGGGGCAGGGGAAGCAGGUGCAGUUCCGCUCGGAGGUGAAGAUGAACUUGCAGCACAGGCAGGAGAACAGCCGGGGGCAGCAUCUCUGCCAGGUACAGCAGGGAGAACAGACACACAUAGCCGUCUCCAUGGCUCCUAGUUCUGGUACAAGGCCUCUAGAGUUUUGACAAUGUUCUCUACCAGAUUAUUGUGGCCACUUCUCUCCCAAAGGGACCCUUGCCCACUCUCGUG